GACGAACGCUGGCGGCGUGCCUAAUACAUGCAAGUCGAACGCACUCUCGUUUAGAUUGAAGGAGCUUGCUCCUGAUUGAUAAACAUUUGAGUGAGUGGCGGACGGGUGAGUAACACGUGGGUAACCUGCCCUAAAGUGGGGGAUAACAUUUGGAAACAGAUGCUAAUACCGCAUAAAACCCAAACACCGCAUGGUGUAGGGUUGAAAGAUGGUUUCGGCUAUCACUUUAGGAUGGACCCGCGGUGCAUUAGUUAGUUGGUGAGGUAAAGGCUCACCAAGACCGUGAUGCAUAGCCGACCUGAGAGGGUAAUCGGCCACACUGGGACUGAGACACGGCCCAGACUCCUACAGGAGGCAGCAGUAGGGAAUCUUCCACAAUGGACGAAAGUCUGAUGGAGCAACGCCGCGUGAGUGAAGAAGGUUUUCGGAUCGUAAAACUCUGUUGUUGGAGAAGAAUGUAUCUGAUAGUAACUGAUCAGGUAGUGACGGUAU
rnacentral:rRNA from 1 species